rnacentral:rRNA from 1 species
AGCGAACGCUGGCGGCAGGCCUAACACAUGCAAGUCGAACGCCCCUUCGGGGGAGUGGCGGCCGGGUGAGUAACGCGUGGGAAUGUGCCCUUUGGUACGGAACAACUGAGGGAAACUUCAGCUCAUACCGUAUGUGCUCUACGGGGGAAAGAUUUAGCGCCAUUGGAGCAGCCCGCGUUGGAUUAGGUAGUUGGUGGGGUAAUGGCCCACCAAGCCGACGAUCCAUAGCUGGUCUGAGAGGAUGAUCAGCCACACUGGGACUGCGACACGGCCCAGACUCCUACGGGAGGCAGCAGUGGGGAAUCUUGCGCAAUGGGCGAAAGCCUGACGCAGCCAUGCCGCGUGAAUGAGGAAGGUCUUAGGAUUGUAAAAUUCUUUCACCGGGGAAGAUAAUGACGGUACCCGGAGAAGAAGCCCCGGCUAACUUCGUG